rnacentral:rRNA from 1 species
AUUGAACGCUGGCGGCAGGCCUAACACAUGCAAGUCGAGCGAGCGGCGGACGGGUGAGUAAUGUCUGGGAAACUGCCUGAUGGAGGGGGAUAACUACUGGAAACGGUAGCUCAUACCGCAUCCCAUCAGAUGUUCCCAGGUGGGCUUCGCUAGUUGGUGGGGUAACGGCUCACCUGGGCGACGAUCCCUAGCGGGUCUGAGAGGAUGACCCGCCACACUGGAACGGAGACACGGUCCAGACUCCUACGGGAGGCAGCAGUGGGGAAUAUUGCACAAUGGGCGAAAGCCUGAUGCAGCCAUGCCGCGUGGGUGAAGAAGGCCUUCGGGUUGUAAAGCACUGUCAGCGGGGAGGCGUUACCCGCAGAAGAAGCACCGGCUAACUCCGUGCCAGCAGCCGCGGUAAUUC